rnacentral:lncRNA from 10 species
AGAGACCCUGAAGGCAUGGGUGUCCAGUGAAAUGAAUUGUUUAUUUUUUCCUCACAAUGCAGGAAAGAGACAAAGGAGAUAGAAGAAGUGGAAUAAGGGGAAAGAUAAGAACUGGAAAGCUGAACCAUAGCCCAGACCCAAGCAGGAGAAAGAGCAAGAAAUGCCUAUGAGAAAGCCGGAAAGAAACCCCUGGAAUUUGGAAGAAAAUGUCUAAAAGUGGCAACUUUGAAUCAAGUCCCACCUUUCUCAUUAAUUCUUGAUGUUGACCUUGAGCAUUUCACUUUACCUUUUCUGACCUUCAUUUUCCCCCUGCCUCUUCUAUAAAAUGAAUCUGGGGUACGACUAUAGAGGGAGUGGCUGAGUUAGGAUGGAGGAAAAAAAUCAGUGGAAAAGAUGAGGUCAAGGAACUGACUCACAAAGCCUAUGAUGACAGGUGAUGAUAAUGACCAACAGCACAAGGAGCCACCUUUGGGCUCCAGGAUAGGAAGCUUGAUUCAAGAUGAUGUCCUAACCACCAUGGUCCCAAAAAAGGCUGAAGGAUGCUGGUUGGUGAGGGUGUUGGUGGAAAUUUCUUUUCCGUGGCAUUACAACUCCAAGGUAUGGGAAUUGAGGAUCUAACCACCAGGCUGGCAUAGAUUCUUCUUGAAUUUGUCUUCUUGUUCCACAGGGAAUGGCAAGGAACCUGAGGAACCAGCGUGAGGAAAACCUGGAUGAUCUGACGUCUUCCUCACUUUAUCCCUACCUGUCCACGCCUCCAUCCAUCCACCCAUCCAUCACUGAUCAAGCUCUCACUAUGUCUAUAGUGUAGAAGGUGCCACCAAAUGCAAUGGAACCUCUUGUCUCAUGUGUCUACUUGCAUCUUUAAGUUGAUACACGGAAGGCACAGUCCAAGCACAGGAUACUGGAAGCUAUGGAGGUACAGUGGCCUCUGAGCAAACUGAAAACUCUCUAUCACUAAAGGGUUGGGCAUACAGGGUAUCUCCUCUGCUCUGCCACCUACCUUGAGGAUGCUUUACAUGUGGCUAAAAGUGGAGGCAGAGAUAUUUGGAUAAAUAAAUGCUAGAGAAUUGGAAAUUCCUAGGACAAGUCAAUU